GACGAACGCUGGCGGCGUGCUUAACACAUGCAAGUCGAACGGUGAAGGGACCGGUUUUUGCUGGUUCUGGAUGAGUGGCGAACGGGUGAGUAACACGUGAGUAACCUGCCCCCUUCUUCUGGAUAACCGCAUGAAAGUGUGGCUAAUACGGGAUAUUCUGCGCCUGCUGCAUGGUGGGUGUGGGAAAGAUAUUGUUUCGGUGGGGGAUGGGCUCGCGGCCUAUCUGCUUGUUGGUGGGGUGAUGGCCUACCCAGGCGGUGACGGGUAGCCGGCCUGAGAGGGUGGACGGUCACACUGGGACUGAGACACGGCCCAGACUCCUACGGGAGGCAGCAGUGGGGAAUAGUGCACAAUGGGCGCAAGCCUGAUGCAGCGACGCCGCGUGAGGGAUGGAGGCCUGCGGGUUGUAAACCUCUUUCGCCAGUGAAGCAGGCCUGUCCCUUUUGUGGGUGGGUUGACGGUAGCUGGAUAAGAAGCGCCGGCUAACUACGUG
rnacentral:rRNA from 1 species